rnacentral:rRNA from 1 species
UGAACGCUAGCGGGAUGCCUUACACAUGCAAGUCGAACGAGAACGGUCCUUCGGGAUGUCAGCUAAGUGGCGGACGGGUGAGUAAUGUAUAGUUAAUCUGCCCUUUAGAGGGGGAUAACAGUUGGAAACGACUGCUAAUACCCCAUACUCCUUUUACAUUAAUUGUAAUUGGGAAACGUUUUUUCGCUAAAGGAUGAGACUAUAUGGUAUCAGGUAGUUGGUGGGGUAAGAGCCCACCAAGCCAAUGACGCCUAGCUGGUCUGAGAGGAUGAUCAGCCACACUGGAACUGAGACACGGUCCAGACUCCUACGGGAGGCAGCAGUGGGGAAUAUUGCACAAUGGAGGAAACUCUGAUGCAGCAACGCCGCGUGGAGGAUGACGCAUUUCGGUGUGUAAACUCCUUUUAUAUGGGAAGAUAAUGACGGUACCAUAUGAAUAAGCACCGGCUAACUCC